rnacentral:rRNA from 1 species
GAUGAACGCUAGCGGCAGGCUUAACACAUGCAAGUCGAGGGGCAGCAUGGGAGUAGCAAUACUUCUGAUGGCGACCGGCGCACGGGUGCGUAACGCGUAUGCAACCUACCUGUAACAGGGGGAUAACACUGAGAAAUCGGUACUAAUACCGCAUAACACUAUGAGAGGCAUCUCUUGUGGUUGAAAGUUUCGGCGGUUACAGAUGGGCAUGCGUUGUAUUAGCUGGUUGGUAAGGUAACGGCUUACCAAGGCGACGAUACAUAGGGGGACUGAGAGGUUAACCCCCCACAUUGGUACUGAGACACGGACCAAACUCCUACGGGAGGCAGCAGUGAGGAAUAUUGGUCAAUGGACGGAAGUCUGAACCAGCCAUGCCGCGUGCAGGAAGACGGCUCUAUGAGUUGUAAACUGCUUUUGUACAAGGGUAAACCUGAAUACGUGUAUUCAGCUGAAAGUACUGUACGAAUAAGGAUCGGCUAACUCCGUGCCAGCAGCCGCGGUAAUACGGAGGAUCCAAGCGUUAUCCGGAUUUAUUGGGUUUAAAGGGUGCGUAGGCGGAUUGAUAAGUUAGAGGUGAAAUGUCCGAGCUCAACUCGGGAACUGCCUCUAAUACUGUUGAUCUAGAGAGUAGAUGCGGUAGGCGGAAUGUAUGGUGUAGCGGUGAAAUGCUUAGAGAUCAUACAGAACACCGAUUGCGAAGGCAGCUUACCAAUCUAUAUCUGACGUUGAGGCACGAAAGCGUGGGGAGCAAACAGGAUUAGAUACCCUGGUAGUCCACGCAGUAAACGAUGAUAGCUCGUUGUCGGCGAUACACAGUCGGUGACUAAGAGAAAUCGAUAAGCUAUCCACCUGGGGAGUACGUUCGCAAGAAUGAAACUCAAAGGAAUUGACGGGGGCCCGCACAAGCGGAGGAACAUGUGGUUUAAUUCGAUGAUACGCGAGGAACCUUACCCGGGCUUGAAAGUUAGUGACUGAUCUGGAAACAGGUCUUCCCUUCGGGGCACGAAACUAGGUGCUGCAUGGUUGUCGUCAGCUCGUGCCGUGAGGUGUCGGGUUAAGUCCCAUAACGAGCGCAACCCCUACUGAUAGUUGCCAUCAGGUCAAGCUGGGCACUCUAUCGGGACUGCCGGUGUAAGCCGGAGGAGGGUGGGGAUGACGUCAAAUCAGCACGGCCCUUACGUCCGGGGCGACACACGUGUUACAAUGGUAGGUACAGAGGGCCGCUACCCAGCGAUGGGGUGCAAAUCUCGAAAGCCUAUCUCAGUUCGGAUUGGAGGCUGAAACUCGCCUCCAUGAAGUUGGAUUCGCUAGUAAUCGCGCAUCAGCCAUGGCGCGGUGAAUACGUUCCCGGGCCUUGUACACACCGCCCGUCAAGCCAUGGGAGUUGGGGGUGCCUGAAGUUCGUGACCGCAAGGAGCGACCUAGGGCAAAACUAAUGACUGGGG